rnacentral:rRNA from 1 species
UUGACCCACAAAAAAACCUUGACCUCAAAUCGGGUGAGACUACCCGCUGAACUUAAGCAUAUCAAUAAGCGGAGGAAAAGAAACUAACAAGGAUUCCCCUAGUAACUGCGAGUGAAGCGGGAAAAGCUCAAAU